rnacentral:tRNA from 1 species
GCGGGCGUGGCGGAACUGGUAGACGCACCAGACUUAAAAUCUGUUGGGCCGCAAGGCCCGUGCCGGUUCGACCCCGGCCGCCCGUACCA